rnacentral:lncRNA from 10 species
GUUCCUUCAUACACAUGCAGUUCAGCUUUCAGACACUCAACAAGAGCCUUGACACCCUCAAGCUGGGGUGAGGACACAGUGAGGAGGUGCCAUCUAUGAACGAAAAAGCUGGUUCUCAGCAGACACCAAAUCUGCUGCCACCUUGAUUUGGACUUCUCAACCUCUAGAACACUGAAAAAUAUAUCUGUUGUUCAUAAGCAACUCAGUUUAUGGUAUUUUUUUUUAAAUAGUGGCUCAAACGGACUAAGAGGGCUGGUCACUUGGGGGCCCAGACACCGUGUUUUGAGGAAGCCUCAGCCUCGCACAGGAAGAUGAACUGAGGGCACCUGCGAGGGUGAGCUAGAGAACACAGAACAGCCAGCUUUCUGGGAAAAACCAAAACUCUGAUUUACAGUGUUUGUAAAUUUCUGUGGUUAGAAUCCUCCCAGCUCUGGACCGUUUAAAAAAUGUCACACAAACCACCUUUCUCAUGAGCCGGCAUGAUCUGGCCCCAGCGCAUCACAAGGUCCCAUCCCUCAGCCCUGUGAGAGCUCCCAGCUGAGCCAGCACUGCCUGCCACCUGUGCGCGAGUGUCUCAGCCCUGAGCUCCUCAGAUCCCAGCAGAACCUCUCCUCUGAGCCAGGCCCAAAUUGCCAAGGUAUGAGUGAAGACCUGAUGGUGCUGUUUCAGUCCACUAUGUUUGGGAUAUCUUUCCACACAGCAGUAGAUGAACAGAGGGCAUUGUCACAGUCUUGGCGAGAAGUUGGACUUGUGCAUUUCUGCGUGUGUAAACUUCUGCUUCUCCAAAAUAUUGGCGAAGUAGGACUGAAUCCUCUUACCUUAUUCCCAAAGUGUCACAAAGAGCCCAUGAUGGUGGGAGCAUGAGAUUGUGGACUGUUUGGAGUGACCGAAGAACCCUCUCACCCAUUCCUAGUUUAAAUUCUUCCCGCUGGGAGCAGGGGUGGUGUGGGAGCCAGGUGGGGUCUCAACCUCUGCCCUCAGUAACAGACUCAGAAGAGGCCAUAGGACUCAGGAGUUGGCUGAAACAACAGGGAAAGAAGUAGGGAUUUUCUCUAGGAGAUUAGCUGCGAAGGGCACAGAGAGAUGACCAUGAAUGACAUGGCUGUCACCUGGGGAGAGAUCCCAAAGUAAGAUCAAGAGAAACAAAGGGGAAAAAAGGUAAAGACGACAAAGUAACUCAUGCUUUGAGUCCUUGGACCAAGCAUUUCCUAAAGCCAGAAUUCCUUGGUAUGGGAGUGAAAAUGUUGACUCAGGGCUGGACAAGGUAGCUCAGCUUGUAAUCCUAGCACUUUGGGAGGCUGAGGAGGAAGAAUUGCUUAAGGCCAGGAGUUUGAGACCAGCUUGAGCAACAUAGCAAGCCCCCUGCCUCUUAAAAAAAAAUGGUGACUCAGCUUGACCUGAUUUCUAAUGUUUUACUCCAAGACUCCACUAAGAUGCCUGAAAAAGAUCAAAAAUACCAAACUCGGAGAGCCUGAGGCAAAGACAGUGCCGUGCACAAGGACAGGAGAUGAGAGCAGAUGACAAGUGUCCCAAUGCAGCUUGAGGGCAGAUGACAGGUGUCCCAAGAGCAGCUUGGGUAUCAGGCUCCCUGGUGAUUCCCAUGCACAGCCCCCGGGAGAACAGCCUUAUUGAUGCUGAUCAGCAGGGAAGGAGGGACGGCUACAUUAGAGGCUGGAAGGACAGCGGGUGAGUCAGGGAUGGGGAGCUUCAUAGUUGAUGUUCAGAAAUGGAGGAAUUCCAGGUGGUGGCAGGAGCUAGUGGGUGGCCAUGGGUUGGAGGGCUGGGACAAAGAGGGAGUGGGGUCACUGUCAUCCAGGCGGACAAAGCACUGAGAGGCUGGGAGGGUGACCGGCCAGGUAACAUUACAGUGAAAGACCGUUUCCCGUAAUCUUAAGUUUCUGAGUGAGUUGAGUGGCUUUGAGCAGCAAAAGGGAAAAAUACAUAGGUUUAGAAAAGAGAAUAGGUAGUUGUCUGAUGUCUUCCAUUCUGGUUCUGCUUGUAAGAAGAGUUCAAGUUCUCAAACAGAGAAACAGAAGAGAAAAAAAUGGCUGUCUUUUAUUAAAAAAAAAUCAGAAGGCUUUUAAGAAAUGUCAAGGAAGUAUUUAUUGAACACUGUUGAAAUAAGAGUCAAAACGCUGCAAUAGGGUGAGCCGUUGAACUCAACUGUCCUGAAGCCCAAGGCAGGAAUAUGUAGGCCCUGGG